UCGUCACCAUCGCCACUGUCCCCGUCAGUGCUGCUUUGCUGCCGUAUAUUGAGACCGUAGGACAUACUCUUAUCGUCCUCGCCGUGGCCAUCGGUGGCGAUCUCGAAGCGAAGGCCUUCGUUGUCGGAUUUGAGAGUGGGAAGGAGGUCGAGGUUCUUCAUACGCUUGUGAGGCGUCCAUUCGUUCUCUUUAGGGGGGAUGAUGAGAUUCCGAUUGGAACUGGGUAGGGUUUUUGAGGGAUCAAAUUCAGUGACAUAUUCUUUUACAGCGCCACUGUUUUGGCUAACAGUAUUGGAUUCAGAGGAAGGUUUAGGUUUAGAUGUGGAUUUGGCGGCCGAUUUAGGGAUUGAGAAGGAGAGCUUCAUUGCCUCUAGAAUUUUGGAUGAAAAUUGCAACACCGACGCUUUGGUCUUCCUCCACGCCGCUGCUGCAAUUCUAUGAACCUCCCCCUUUUUGUUUAUAUGACUAUUUAGGCCAAACGUCUUGAGAAAUUUACGAUUCUAACCCUCUGUUUAUAUUAUAUUCACUCCAUCCAAUAAUUUUUUUAUUAUCCUACAAUUAUUAUUCACUUAUUUUUUAAAAAUUAUAAUAAUAUGUAAAUUAAUAAUUAUAACUCUAUUUAAUUUAAAAUAAAUUAUAUUUUAAUUUAUAAAUUUUAAUAUAAUUAAUAAAUUAAUAUUUAUAUUUUUAAAACUGAAUAACUAAAUUUAUUUAUAAUCGGUCUAUUCAAAUUAGAAAUUUUUUUAUCUAUUUUAAUUGUUAAAAUUAUAAAAAAAAACUUUUUAUUAUCUUUUUAAAUAGAUAAAAUAUAUUUAAUCCUUUAAAUUUUAUUAUAAUUAAUAGAUUUGUUUCUAUAUUUUUAAAAACAUACACUUACAUUCUUCUAUAAUUAGUUUAUCUCAUCAGCUAUAAUUUAAACAUUUUUAUUUUUUAUUUUUUAUUUAAAAAAAUACUUAAAUUUCUAUUAAGUUUUAUAUAUAAUAUCUCAUUCAAUUAAUUUUUAAUACUUCUAUUUUUAAUUUUUAUUUAUUAAAAUAUUUCAAUACUUAUAAUUUUAAAAUUUUUAAAAAAUAUUUACUAUUUUAACUAUUUUUAAGUAGUACCAAAUAAAUUUUAAAUAGAUUAUAAAAUUUUAUAAAGAAUAUUUUAGAGAGAAAGUAUACUUUUAAAAAAGUUUAAUUAUUCUAUAAUAGAUGAAACCGUUGUAAUUUUAAAUAGAUUAAAUAUAGAGAAAUUUAAGAAUUUAAUUUUAAAAAUAAAAGAAUGAAUCUGUCAAUCACGUUAAAAUUUAAAAAUUAAAAUAUAUUUUAUACGAUAUAAAAUUAUCAUCUAAUAAUUUUUCACAAUAGUAUUUUAAAUAUUUGUAACGCUUAUUCAUUUUAUUCUCCCUUUAACCGAUUGACAAACUAAAUGAUUGUAUAAAAAUUUAAAUAUUUGAUUUUAAAUAUACAAUUUAAAUAUUUGAUUUUAAAAAUAUAGAAAUUAAUUUAUUAAUUAUAUUAAAAUUAAAAAAAUAAAGUAUAAUUUAUUUUUAAUUUUAUUUUAUUUUUUAAAUUUUUAAAAAAUUAUUUUAAUAUUUAAUAAAUUUUAAUAUAUUUAAAAAGAUAUAAUUAAAAAAAUAAUAAAAAAAGUUAUAUUUCUUAUAAAAAAAUAAAAUAAAUAAAAAUUAUUAUAUAACGGAAAGAAUUGUAUUAUAAACCUAUCAUAUAAAUACUCACCUGCUUAAUUUGGUGUUAAGUGUUUAGAUUCUACUCUACUAAUCUCCAAUUUUUAUUUUUUUUUUAAAAAAAAACCUAUCAUAUAAUAAAUUAAAUUAAUUUUUAUUUUCUAAAAUUUUCAUUAUCAAAUCUAUAUGCGAUUCUCGCAUAUGCAAUUGUCUGACAUUCUUUAUUUUAUUAAUUAAAAAAAUAUAAUAAUAUAAUAUAUCUUUUCUUUUUUUGAUAUUUUAGAUUACAUUGGUAAAAAAAAAUCAUAAACAAAAUUUUCAUAUUGUAGAGAUUGUAAUUUCAAACUCUAUUGCCCAUUUAUUCUUAGGGAAGUUUACAAUUUAGUCUUCAACAAAUCGUUCCUUUCAUCAUCCACUGUUACUCUCUCUUUUCCAUUAAAAACUAAGAUGAAAAGGAGAGAGAAUAUUUUGAAAAUUCAAUUUUAGCCUUUGGCCUUCCUGCGUUUAUUGAAGAACCCACCAUCCACACCUUCCGGCUACCUCCUCAGCUAGUAAAAAAAGAUUACCAGCGACUCUACGAUUACUUCUACUCCUCCGCCGGAUCCCUCCUUGACGAGGCUGAGAAGAUGGGUCUCUCGCGAGAAGAAGCUCGUCACAAUAUCCUUUUUGCCACAUGCUUUAACACCUUCGGAAGCCUUAAGAUCUUUUUCCCGAACAUACUCAAGUGGAUCGGUCAUGCAGGAGUGAAGCUUCAUACCCAAUUAGCCUAAGAGAUCAGAUCAGUCCUUAAAUCCAACGGAGGACAGAUCACGAUGGCUGCUCUGGAACAGAUGCCACUAAUGAAAUCCGCUGUGUACGAAGCAUUCCGUAUCGAACCGCCGGUACCAGCACAGUACGGGAAAGCAAAGCGUGAUUUGGUCAUCGAGAGUCACGACGCAGCUUUUGAAGUAAAAGAAGUUGAAAUGAUAUUCGGGUACCAACCAUUCGCGACGAGAGAUCCGAAAAUAUUCGACAGACCCGAUGAGUACGUUCUGGAUCGAUUCGUCGGCGACGGAGAAAAGUUAUUGAAGCACGUGCUGUGGUCAAACGGACCAGAGACAGAGCAUUCAACGGUGGGAAACAAACAGUGCGCGGGUAAAGAUUUCGUGGUAUUUAUAUCAAGACUUUUCGUGGUUGAAUUAUUUCGACGAUACGAUUCGUUUGAAAUUGAAGUUGGAUCAUCGCCGUUGGGGUCUUCCAUCACCAUUACGUCGUUGAAGAGGGCGAGUUUUUAAGGCGGCUGUGGAAUAGUAAUUAAAGAAAAAAAUUUAUAGGAAAAAUUCGGAGUCGUCUUCACAGAUCUCGACUUCAGCAUCAGUUAAAAUUAAUUAUAAAAAAAAAAAAUCGAAGGAUGUCUCAGCGCAGGCAUGCUUGUAAUAAUUGAACUAAAAUUUGCAGGGGGGCAACGAUGUCGGGGUGGUGAAAGGGAUCUUUGCUUCUAUCAAUUAUAAUUUACAAUCUUCAUGUGCGGUUGAGAUUGAAUGGGAUGUUCUUUAAUUUAUGAAAUGUAAUUUAUGAAAGGUAGCCGGAAGGUGUGGAUGGUGGGUUCUUCAAUAAACGCAGGAAGGCCAAAGGGUAAAAUUAAAUUUUCAAAAUAUUAUUUCUCCUAUUUUAACAGAAAAGAAGCUAAUAGUGAAUGAAAUGAACAAUUUGUUAACGGGAUCGAUUUGUUAACACGUUUUAAUAGAUUUCUAAAAAUACAGGAACUGAAUUGUUAAUAAUGACAAUAAUCAGAAAUUAAAUUAUAAAUUUACAUUAUUUCUAUUUACCUAUGUGAAAGAGGUUUUUAAAAGAAGCCAAUGAAAAACUAACAAGUGGCAUAUUUGUACCAAUUAUUUUUCAUAUUUAAGUUGUAUUUUCAUUUUGUUCUGCAUCCUGAUACGCUCACUCAAGCACAAAGAACAACUCCUCUUUAACCUCAUAUGUACAAGUAGAUGAUGAAAUCUCCUCUUAAUGAAUCUAAACCAAUAUUUGGCAUGUGUGAAAAACAUCUUUUUAAUCAAAGGAAUUACCCCAUUUGAUUGAUCUAAACAUCAGAAAUUUAGAAUAGACUAUCUUUAAGGCUUCCCCCAGCGAGCAAAUUGAAAAAUGAUUCCUCUUUGUUGCCACUGUCCAUUUCAGAUUCUGCAGAAUGAAGACUUGUACCCGUUGUACUAGAAGUUGAGGUUACCGGUCUUUUAACUGAGAUGAAUGCUGCUGUUGAGGGUGCAGGUCUUUUAACCGAGACAAAUGCUACAGAUGCCGAACUCGACCUUGGUGUCAAAGUUUUAGAGCUUGGAGAUGAACUUGAGAUUGGAAGCAUGUCACCUUCUGGUGGGAGUUUUUCAUCUGGAGUUCCUGCAUUAUCUGGGUUAUCUCCCAGGUCAACACCACCUUCAACUUCCUUCCUGUCCACUCCGUCUUUGGCAGGACCCUCAUUCAAGUCCUCAAAGUCAGAAUCAUCUUGUAUCCCGAAAAAAGUAGUAUGAGGGAAUAUAGCAACAAAAUCAUAAAGGCAGCAAAAAUAUUAAGGGAAGGAAAAAAAGAAUGAAGAAUGUAGCAAUCUAAGAUUACAAUGAAGUAGAGUAAAAAAAGGUGCUAAAACAUGUAAAGACAGCGAAUAUAAAUCAUAAGCCCAUGCCUAGAACUUCCCAAAAAUCACUACAGCAAUUGCAUAUAGUUGACAAAUAGCAACCCCUUGACAAAAGACUCACGCCAUAUGCAUCAAGGAUUUUGUUCUCCCCAACUUGUAUGCACGUUGAACAGUUUAAGCAGUUGAUAGGAAAAGGUUGUAUAUUUUCCAAGGUAUUUGUCAUGUUAGCAUAUUGCCAAGGUUCUAAUUUAAGGCAUGUUAAUUAAUGCCUAAUGGCUGAUCUACAUAUUCACUAUUCACAUUUAUAACUAGAUUCUAGAUUCUAGGUAUAAUUGCACUACACCAAGCUCCAGUGAGAGUUAAGGAGUGGGAAAAAAAAAAGAUUUCAUCGUUGUUUGAUUCUGAAAGGAAAUUAGCGACAAUCCCAAUUAAUUAUCAAAGAACAAUUCAUCGUUUGAAUAAAUAAUCAAGAUAUUCAUCAAUAGGAAUUUCUCAAACAAACUGGUGUUGCACUUAAUUAAGCAAAGUCAGGUUAAAGUUUUAAUGAGUGCAUAACUACUGUCUGCAAAAGGCAAUAGUUGAUAUUGAUGAAGAUUAUGCUGCAGUUGUACAGUAAAUAAAGUUGCACGCAAUCACCAAACUACUUGGUCAGUUGGUCCUAAAUCUCCCUCACCCGUUUCUCUUUUCUCUUCAUAUUUAAGCAUACAAAUCACCUCUAGCUAACUAAACGCCUCUACUUUUUCUAGAUAAACGGAACAAAAAUUCAGCUAGAAAUCUAAUCAACAUUUAUGUGAAUGCAUCCAUUUCUGAGAUAUGGUGUCCAAAAAACUGGCGCAAGUGAUCCCUUGGAGUUCCAAAAUGAUGCUAGACACAUCUACUUUAUGCCAUCCGCUCUUCUAUUUAAUCUCAAUCAUAGCUGAGUUCAGCUCCUCUGAAACCAACAGUGGAAAGGCCUCAGUAUUUUUUUCACCCAGUUUUGUGGACUUGGCCAAAAUCUAUAUUCAAGUUACAAUUACAACUUCUAAUGCAUAACCUCUUUUUUGCCUGCAUGAGAACAAGCCACCUAAAAUAGAAUAUUCAUCAAACUUACUUUUGUUAUGUAAAUGCAUAAUACAUGUAAUCCACAUCAAGAUACCUAAGAUCCCAUGGGGAAAAAAAAAAGAUAAGGUAAGAAACAAAAAGAAAAAACUCAGAAUAUCUGGAUUUUUAUUUUAAGUAUUUGCACAACUGAUAAUGAUUUAACAGCACUAAAGAAAAGUCAACCAAAAACUCUUUCUAAAAGUUUACUACACACGAAAACUUGAUUCAUGAUUAGACAAUGUCUGAUGGGACCAGACUAUAUCAUCUUUGCAAGAAAUCAUAAAGUUGGACAUUGAAAUCCUUUACUUAAGAUACAGGGAGGCCAAGAAUAUAUACAUAGAGAUGUACUAUGGGAAUAUUUAGAUGGCAUUACAAAAAGAAGAGCUGAAGACAAAACCUAGUAGCAAACAAACAAGGAAACUCUCAGGUCUGUUGGAUUUGCACAACUAAUUACCUCUUAUAUAUACAAUGAGACCGCAAUCAUGCCUAAUAAGUGGCUCAUUCGACAUGUGAUGAAGUUUUCAUUCCAUUUCCACACUAAUAGCUCUUUAAGGUCAAACAUGACAGUAUGAGCAGUUCAAUAAAAUAUAUAAACGAUGAUUCAAGCUAAAAGAAGCUAAAUACUCAGACAUAAUCGAAUGCAAGAACUGGUUUAUGGAUAGACAGAAGUUCAAUUUCAUAUAAUAUCAAAUAAGCAAUGACAGAACAACAACAUGACAAAAACUAAAUUCCUUAAUGAGUGUAGAAAGAGUGAAGCGAACUAUAUAUCAAAAAAGGCAAUCAAGCGAAGUAUCCCAAAGUACCUAUUGGCAGCAUGGACUGGAGAUGCAGGAGCAUCAAUAUCCAAUGUAGCUGGGAUCUCCAAGAUACUCUGCAAUUUGUUCAAGUUUGACAUUGAGCAAUUCUUGAGAAUCAGAAUCUUGCACAACCCCAGUCUCUUGGUCCAAAUCCCUCUGAACCAAUUUCCCAUAUACUCCCUUGUGCCUCCCGUAGAGAACAAGGACAGGACCCCCACGCCGUGGUAAAGCAGUCUCAAGAAGAUCCUGAUCUAUUCCCUGUACCAAUUCCUUAGUCUCAUCCAUCGAUAUAUCACAUACAUAUGGCCCAACCACAUCUACCACCUCCCCCUUCUUCAAAUAAAAUCUGCCUCCUUUCAAGUCCUUGCUUAUAAUUCUGACCCGAAUAUGAUUUCUGAGCCAUCGCUUUCUGUCAUCCUUCUCUUGACCACUGUCUCUCCUCAUACUUUCUCUGCUUUCUCUAAUUGGUUCAAUAAUGCGCUUUUCACUGUCCCUAUCCUUUGAUUGCUUUCCUUCUAUUUGUAACGUUUUCAACUUCCUUAAGCACUUCUCUUCUUCCUUAGAGCCCAAAUCAGCGAUAUCAGAAACACGCAGUUUUAGUUCCUCCGUUGUUUCUGAAAGCUUAGCAUCAUCUAGUCUCUUUGAAAUUCUACCCUUUGAACCCAAAAUGCCUUUUCCACCGGCAAUAACUCUGACAUCUUUACCAACAAAGAAACCAUCACCAUGUCCGUCCUUAACUCUUUCUCUUUUCCUCUCGUUUUGCCCGUCUCUAUCCUUAACACUAGUACUAGUAGUAUUAGAAGCAGGAGGAACAAAACCCAAACCUUCUUUAUCAGUCCUCUUGUGGUAUUGCUUGACUUUAACAUCUUCCUUAGCAUUUCUUCCGAUACCUCUGCCUUCAUGCCAACCAUAGCCAGCCAGUAAAGCCGCGCCAAAGCCUUCCACCGGUACAUCCUUAAACUCCUCAAAUCCUCGAUCCUCAGGCAACCGCUGGAGAUCGUACUUCAACUUCUCCAACAACAAAUUCUCAGUAGUUUCGACUUUCUGGUAAGAUUUGACUCCUUCGUCACCAUCGCCAUUGUCCCCAUCAGUGCUGCUUUGCUGCCGUAUAUUGAGACCGUAGGACAUACUCUUAUCGUCCUCGCCGUGGCCAUCGGUGGCGAUCUCGAAGCGAAGGCCUUCGUUGUCGGAUUUGAGUGUGGGAAGGAGGUCGAGGUUCUUCAUACGCUUGUGAGGCCUCCAUUCGUUCUCUUUAGGGGGGAUGAUGAGAUUCCGAUUGGAACUGGGUAGGGUUUUUGAGGGAUCAAAUUCAGUGACAUAUUCUUUUACAGCGCCACUGUUUUGGCUAACAGUAUUGGAUUCAGAGGAAGGUUUAGGUUUAGAUGUGGAUUUGGCGACCGAUUUAGGGAUUGAGAAGGAGAGUUUCAUUGCCUCUAGAAUUUUGGAUGAAAAUUGCAACACCGACGCUUUGGUCUUCCUCCACGCCGCUGCUGCAAUUCUAUGAACCUCCCCCCUUUU
rnacentral:lncRNA from 1 species